GGUUCCAUAGCAUAGCAGUUAGCACAUCUGUUUUACACACAGAAGGUCUUGAGUUCGUGCCCCAGUGAAGCCA
rfam:Pteropus alecto contig9193, whole genome shotgun sequence.